CUGUGGCCUUGCUUGAAUUAAUUUUAAUAUAAUGAGAGGUAUAAAUCAAAAUUCAUUUCAUUAUUUUUUGCAAGAUGGCUAUCCAGGUGUUUCAACAUUCUCUAUUGAAAAUAUGUCUUACUUUGUCUUUCUUGAAACCCUUGCCUUCCUUUAUGUACUCUCUACUUACAUGAUUUUGCCUUUUCCCAUGAGUUUAAAUGAAGUCUAAAUACUGAUGACAUCUAAAUAUAUAUGUGCAUUUGAGUACUUUCCCCUGGAUUUCCUGAUAAAUCAAUUCAACUGUCUAUUUGUCAUUGUCCAUCAAACAUUUCAAAGACAUCUUAAAUUUAACACAGCCAAAAAGAGUCUUAAUUUCCCCAAUUCUAGAACUAUUUCAUUCAUAUGAUCUUUCCUCAUUUCCACAAGCAUUAUCAAUAUGCUCUAAGAAAGCUAGGAACUAUGCUGAAUUCAGUUCUUUACUUCAGCUAAUAACAGCAAAUCUUCAAAUUCUUUCUCCCAAAUCAUCUGAAAUCCAACUACAUUUUAAGUUCAGCUAUCUCUUCAAUACCCAUUCACAACUGCCAUUCACCUGGACUCCUGCUGCAGCCCACCUACUAGGUCUUCUUCACUUAAACCCAUCUCCAAUCCAUUCUUUUCAAAGCAGCAAAAGCGGUAAUUUAAAACAUUAUAUAACUCCCCUGCUUAAAAUUCUUCCAUAACUUUUACUCAAUGAACUAAAUAAACAUGUAUUAAGCAUUUAUUCUAUGUCAAGCAUUGUUCAAGGAACUGAGGAUAUAAUGGUAAUUACAAAAAUACAUGGUCUCUAACUUCAUUAAAUGUACAUGCAUCCAGUAUUCAAACACACACACACACACACCCUAUAAGAUGUUAACUCUGACAAAUAUAUAGAAGGGUAAUAAACAAUGUAAUGAAUGCUUUCAAAUAGGAAUUUUAUAUGCAAGCAAGACUCUUUGGGAUACUGAUUAUUUAGCACAAAUUAUCUAAAAAAAAACAGAGACUUAGGCAGAAAACUAUUCAUGUAAAUAUGCAGAUUUACAAUAUGCUACAGUAUGGCAAGGAUACAAAGAUGGAAGGAUAAAUGACAAGGACAGAAAGCAAAGAGAACAAGAUGAACUUUGAGGAAAAAAAAAGAAGGAACCAAACCCACAGGCCUUGCUAAGUAGUAUUUUUCUCUUCCUUAAAAUAACACAGAACAAUCUGAGAAAGAGCACUGUGGCUACAGUGUAGAGAGUAUAUUGAGAAGAAAACAGAACUCUAGAGUUUGGGCAAUGAUCUAGAAAAAGUGGAAUGGUAGAUCUUUCUUGCUUCAAAACCCAAACCCAUUCAGCCUGGAAUGAAUGCUUUCACUCCUACUUGUCAGGUCUCAGAUUAAAUAUUUCCUCUUAAAAGGAAACCUUCCCUGACCACCAAGAAAAUAAAAAUUUUCUCACCCAGAUCCAUUAUUUUGUAUCACCUUGUUUGCUUCCUUCAAACAUUAAGCACUUUAACAUUUCAUGAUUAGUACUUCUUUAUUUAUUUCUAUCUAUAACCCUAGAAUGUUUGCACCAGGAGAGGGGGACUAUGCCUAUCUUUUUUCUUCCAGCUUGUAAAUUGCCAGUGCAUUCACCAGCAGCAGCUUUAUGGCUGUACUAAAAACAAUAUUGAUCAAAUGAAGUGAUAUCACUGUCUUCACAUGAUAUUAGCUUUCCUCUGCUCAUAAUAUAUGCCACUUAGCAUAAACAUGCUAGGUUAAACCUUUCAACAACUUCUCCACACCUACGUGUUAUGUCACGUGCUGGAUAAGGUGUUAGAGAUAGAAUAAUAACUUCCAAGACCAUAAGAUAUCUAUCAAUGGUUUAGAACAAUGGUUCUGGUUCCCGUUGUGGCACAGCAGAAAGGAAUCCGACUAGGAAUCAUGUGGUUGCAGGUUCAUCCCUGGCCUCACUCAGUGGAAUAAGGAUCUGGCAUUGCCAUGAGCUGUGGUGUAGCUGAGAUCUAUUUCUACCAUCUGACUUUAAUUAUUUCGUAUUUUAUCUUAAAACUCACCUCCUUAUGUGAGAAAUGGAAAAUGAAACAUAUUAUAGAUUUGGCAUAAUUAAAUCCUUCCAUCAAUGAUGAGUAAUGGCUGUAUUCUCAGGCUGCUGGACUAGGGAUAUAGCAGUGAUUUAAAAUAGCCCUUAAAAGAAAUCUCUUGAUUUUUAGGUAUUAGCUUAAAUCUCAGGCUUAACAAAUCACAUGGUUCCUCUUUCUAAGCACAGGAUGGGAUCAGUUUUACAUAAGACUUGGUAUCAGAUAUACUGAUAAUCAGAUUGCAUGACUUUUAAACAAAUUCAGAUGUUAUAGACAUAAAAAAAUAUCAUAGAGCAUAUUAUGUUUCAACUCAAAAAUCUAAUGAAUAUAUAGAUAUUGAGCACACACUAGUAGAAAGGCCAGAUGGUAUAGGGAGCAGGUAUAUGGAUCAGGCACAUCCCAAUCCUGAAGUUGCUUAUGAUCUAAUGAUGAAAAUUUAACAUAAACACA
rnacentral:lncRNA from 1 species